rnacentral:pre_miRNA from 1 species
AUGUUUGGCAAGCGAGAGGAAAAGGAAGGAGUAACUAAGAUCGAUAGGAAUAGAAGGCAUCAGGAAAACACAAAGCAAAUCUCUACCUUGGCUCUGACACAGGAGGAGAAAGUGGCCUCUAGGCUUUCCUCCAUGAUCCUAUUCCCACUGCUCUUAGAUAUUCUCUCUUCCUCUUCCUCUCUCACUAUCUAG